rnacentral:rRNA from 1 species
CCUACGGGAGGCAGCAGUGGGGAAUAUUGCACAAUGGGCGAAAGCCUGAUGCAGCAACGCCGCGUGAGCGAUGAAGGCCUUCGGGUCGUAAAGCUCUUUCCUCAAGGAAGAUAAUGACGGUUCUCUAGCUGGAAGCCCCGGCUAACUACGUGCCAGCAGCCGGGGUAAUUCGUAGGGGGCUAGGGGUUUCCGGAAUUACGGGGCGAAAAGGGUGCGGUGGGGGUUGGUUAAGUCAGAGGUGAAAGGGUACGGGUCAACCGUAGUAAGCCCUUGAAACUGGGGAGCUUGAGUGCAGGAGAGGCGAGUGGAAUUCCUGGUGUAGCGGUGAAAUGCGUAGAUAUUAGGAGGAACACCAGUGGCGAAGGCGGCUCUCUGGACUGUAACUGACACUGAGGCACGAAAGCGUGGGGAGCGAACAGGAUUAGAUACCCUUGUAGUC